GAUGAACGCUGGCGGCGUGCCUAAUACAUGCAAGUCGAGCGAACGGACGAGAAGCUUGCUUCUCUGAUGUUAGCGGCGGACGGGUGAGUAACACGUGGAUAACCUACCUAUAAGACUGGGAUAACUUCGGGAAACCGGAGCUAAUACCGGAUGAUAUUUUGAACCGCAUGGUUCAAAAGUGAAAGACGGUCUUGCUGUCACUUAUAGAUGGAUCCGCGCUGCAUUAGCUAGUUGGUAAGGUAACGGCUUACCAAGGCAACGAUGCAUAGCCGACCUGAGAGGGUGAUCGGCCACACUGGAACUGAGACACGGUCCAUACUCCUACGGGAGGCAGCAGUAGGGAAUCUUACGCAAUGGGCGAGAGCCUGACAGAGCAACGCCGAGUGAGUGAUGGCGGUCUUCGGAUCGUAAAACUCUGUUAUUAGGGAAGAACAUAUGUGUAAGUAACUGUGCACAUCUUGACGGUACCUAAUCAGAAAGCCACGGCUAACUACGUG
rnacentral:rRNA from 1 species